rnacentral:rRNA from 1 species
UACAGAGGUGGCAAGCGUUGUUCGGAAUUACUGGGCGUAAAGGGCGCGUAGGCGGCCUUCUUAGUCGGACGUGAAAUCCCCAGGCUUAACUUGGGAACUGCGUCCGAUACUGGGAGGCUUGAGUGCGGGAGAGGGAUGCAGAAUUCCAGGUGUAGCGGUGAAAUGCGUAGAUAUCUGGAGGAAUACCGGUGGCGAAGGCGGCAUCCUGGACCGAGAUUGACGCUGAGGAGCGAAAGCUAGGGGAGCAAACGGG